AGUACGGUCGCAAGAUUAAACUCAAGGAAUUGACGGGGGCCUGCACAAGCGGGUGGAGCAUGUGGUUUAAUUCGAAGCAACGCGCAGAACCUUACCAGCGUUUGACAUCCCGCGCUACAUUCAGAGAUGAAUGGUUCCCUUCGGGGACGCGGUGACAGGUGCUGCAUGGCUGUCGUCAGCUCGUGUCGUGAGAUGUUGGGUUAAGUCCCGCAACGAGCGCAACCCUCGUCCUUAGUUGCCAUCAUUCAGUUGGGCACUCUAAGGAAACCGCCGGUGAUAAGCCGGAGGAAGGUGGGGAUGACGUCAAGUCCUCAUGGCCCUUACACGCUGGGCUACACACGUGCUACAAUGGCGGUGACAGUGGGCAGCCACCUCGCGAGAGGGAGCUAAUCCCCAAAAGCCGUCUCAGUUCGGAUUGUUCUCUGCAACUCGAGAGCAUGAAGGCGGAAUCGCUAGUAAUCGCGGAUCAGCAUGCCGCGGUGAAUACGUUCCCAGGCCUUGUACACACCGCCCGUCACACCAUGGGAGUUGGUUUCACCCGAAGGCAGUGCGCUAACCGCAAGGAGGCAGCUGACCACGGUGGGAUCAGCGACUGGGGUG
rnacentral:rRNA from 1 species